GCGGAUAGUUGCCUGAAGCCCCAGGAGCACAGCGGGAGUUCCCGCUGUGCUCCGGGGGCUUCAGGCGGCUUCAGC
rnacentral:miRNA from 1 species